rnacentral:rRNA from 1 species
UCUUGGUCAUUUAGAGGAAGUAAAAGUCGUAACAAGGUCUCCGUUGGUGAACCAGCGGAGGGAUCAUUGCUGGAACGCGCCCCAGGCGCACCCAGAAACCCUUUGUGAACUUAUACCUUACUGUUGCCUCGGCGCAUGCCGGCCCCCUUGGGGGCCCCUCUCCUGGAGGAGCAGGCACGCCGGCGGCCAACCUAACUCUUGUUUUUACACUGAAACUCUGAGAAUAAAACAUAAAUGAAUCAAAACUUUCAACAACGGAUCUCUUGGUUCUGGCAUCGAUGAAGAACGCAGCGAAAUGCGAUAAGUAAUGUGAAUUGCAGAAUUCAGUGAAUCAUCGAAUCUUUGAACGCACAUUGCGCCCUCUGGUAUUCCGGAGGGCAUGCCUGUUCGAGCGUCAUUUCAACCCUCAAGCCUGGCUUGGUGAUGGGGCACUGCCUGUAAAAGGGCAGGCCCUGAAAUUCAGUGGCGAGCUCGCCAGGACCCCGAGCGCAGUAGUUAAACCCUCGCUCUGGAAGGCCCUGGCGGUGCCCUGCCGUUAAACCCCCAACUUCUGAAAAUUUGACCUCGGAUCAGGUAGGAAUACCCGCUGAACUUAAGCAUAUCAAUAAGCGGAGGAA